ACCUACGGGGGGCAGCAGUGGGGGAUAUUGCACAAUGGGGGGAACCCUGAUGCAGCGACGCCGCGUGGGUGAAGGAGCGUUUCGGCGCGUAAAGCCCUAUCGGCAGGGAAGAAGGCGGACGGUACCUGACUAAGAAGCCCCGGCUAACUACGUGCCAGCAGCCGCGGUAAUACGUAGGGGGCAAGCGUUAUCCGGAUUUACUGGGUGUAAAGGGGGCGCAGACGGCAGCGCAAGCCAGGAGUGAAAGCCCGGGGCCCAACCCCGGGACUGCUCUUGGAACUGCGCGGCUG
rnacentral:rRNA from 1 species